CCAAUAGCGUAUAUUAAAGUUGUUGCAGUUAAAAAGCUCGUAGUUGAAUUUCGGGACCAUCAUGUCGGUCGUGCCUCGGUACGUACUGGCAUUGUUGGUUUCUCCCUUCUGACGAACCAUGAUGUCAUUUAUUUGGUGUUGUGGGAAAUCAGGACUGUUACUUUGAAAAAAUUAGAGUGUUUAAAGCAGGCUCACGCUUGAAUACAUUAGCAUGGAAUAAUGAAAUAGGACGUUUGAUUCUAUUUUGUUGGUUUCUAGGAUCGACGUAAUGAUUAAUAGGGAUAGUUGGGGGCAUUAGUAUUCAAUUGUCAGAGGUGAAAUUCUUGGAUUUAUUGCAGACUAACUACUGCGAAAGCAUUUGCCAAGGAUGUUUUCAUUAAUCAAGAACGAAAGUUAGGGGAUCGAAGACGAUCAGAUACCGUCGUAGUCCUAACCAUAAACUAUGCCGACUAGGGAUCGGAUGAUGUUAAUUUUUUAAUGACUCAUUCGGCGCCUUACG
rnacentral:rRNA from 1 species